ensembl:snRNA U1 U1 spliceosomal RNA
AUACUCACCUAGCAGGGGAGACACCAUGAUGAGGCAGGUGGUUUCCCAGGGCAAGGCUCAUCCAUGACAUUUCAUAGGUGCUGACCCCAGCAAUUUCCCCAAAUUCAAGAAGUUCAGAUGCAUAGCUUGUGGUAGUGAGGACUGCAUUCACAUUCUCCUCA